rnacentral:rRNA from 1 species
ACAGGGAUUGCCCCAGUAACGGCGAGUGAAGCGGCAACAGCUCAAAUUUGAAAUCUGGUCCCCUUGCGGGGCCCGAGUUGUAAUUUGAAGAGGAUGCUUCUGGCAAGGUGCCUUCCGAGUUCCCUGGAACGGGACGCCGCAGAGGGUGAGAGCCCCGUACGGUAGGACGCCGAGCCUCUGUGAAGCUCCUUCGACGAGUCGAGUAGUUUGGGAAUGCUGCUCAAAAUGGGAGGUAAACCCCUUCUAAAGCUAAAUACCGGCCAGAGACCGAUAGCGCACAAGUAGAGUGAUCGAAAGAUGAAAAGCACUUUGAAAAGAGAGUUAAAAAGCACGUGAAAUUGUUGAAAGGGAAGCGCUUGCGACCAGACUCGCGCCCGUCGGAUCAGCCGUCGCUUGUCGGCGGCGCACUCCGGCGGGCUCGGGCCAGCAUCAGUUCGCCUCGGGGGGAGAAAGGCGGCAGGAAUGUGGCUCCUCGGAGUGUUAUAGCCUGCCGUGUAAUACCCCCGGGCGGACUGAGGACCGCGCGUAUGCAAGGAUGCUGGCGUAAUGGUCGUCAGCGACCCGUCUUGAAACACGGACCAAGGAGUCGUCCUAAUAUGCGAGUGUACGGGUGUCAAACCCCUGCGCGUAAUGAAAGUGAACGGAGGUGAGAGCUUCGGCGCAUCAUCGACCGAUCCUGAUGUUCUCGGAUGGAUUUGAGUAAGAGCAUAUUGGGCCGGACCCGAAAGAAGGUGAACUAUGCCUGUGUAGGGUAAAGCCAGAGGAAACUCUGGUGGAGGCUCGCAGCGGUUCUGACGUGCAAAUCGAUCGUCAAACAUGGGCAUGGGGGCGAAAGACUAAUCGAACCUUCUAGUAGCUGGUUUCUGCCG